CUGACAUAGUUAUCAGCAAAGGCCACGAGGCGGAACUCAUAGAGCACGUCCUGAGGAUUAGAGGUGGAGGGCCAUGGAGCGGAUCAGGGCCAGCACUGCCCACCACAGUCCCUUUUGUGAAGACUGUAGUCGGGAGGUCUUCCCAUCCAUUUCUGUGCCGUGCAGCGUUGGGGACCUCUUACCUUCCGGUAUAGACAGGACAAUCUCGCUGAAAGGCCCACUGCCCAGCUUAUUCUGAGCAAGGACACUGAACUGGUAUUGAGUAUGGGGUUGCAGUCCUGGCACUAGAAGGUGUGUCGCCCCCAUAGGCACAGCCAGCGAUACCCAGUCAUGGUGGGCUCGGUCAGGACGCUUGGCCCUGGGGAACACAGGGAAAUCUCAUCAGCAAGGAUGAUCGGGAUGGUGUAGGGGUCCAGAGAGCCGGCCUCACCCCUCUGCUCAACCACCAAAGUCUCAGGGACCUCGGCCCCGCAAGCCCCAGCCCGCUCCCAGGCCACUAACCGAGCACAUAGACAUUGGUAGAAGUGACCACAUGGGCCACAGCGUUGCUGGCACUGCAUUCCCACCGUCCAUGGGCCUCCUUGGUCAGGGGUCGGAGGAUGAGGCUGCCGUUGCUGUCCACCUGGGCCUGACCCUGCAGCCCCCGGCCCACCUAGAGAACCACUGGUCAGCCCUGAGGAUACAUGCAGCCACCCCUCACCAAGGGGGCCACUCAUCCCUCCAGCUCAGACUUCAUAACCCCUCACCUGGACUAGCUCAUCUGUUUCACAGCCUUCCAGCUGCCCCUCCUAACUCCGACUCAGAGUCCUGAUACCACAACGCCACUGCCAAAACCCACCGCUGCUAUUGCCUUAAGAUUUUUGUAAACUUUCAACAAAAAUUCACCGAACGCUACACCUGGAAAAGCCCUGAAGACGCUAUGAUGAAAAGACGCAAGGCCUCAAGGAAUUUAUAGUCUCCUCAGACAAACAAAAGAUCUCAAUCAGCUUGGAAUGAGGUCAUAUGAAGUUGGCACGCAGUUUUCCCUUUAGGACCCAACCUGUCUUUCCAGCCUUUUCUACACCCACUCAAGUCCCUACAGGUGCUCACUGCCGCUCUCACCUCACCCGCACGAUUCAUCCUUUCAUCAACCCACGACACCAUACCCUGCCUCUGCGAAGUGGUUUCUGCGUCGAAUGACUGCCCACUCUGCAAGAUCUAACCCCAGAGUCCCAGGAUUUGUGGCUGAUCUCUCCUCAACCAGACCUAGAAGCAAAGCCUUGUUCCUUCUCUGGCCCUGCCAGCAGAGCCUCUGUUCCAGUUCCAUCCUCCAGGCCAUGCUCUAAGGAUGGAUACGUCUUCGUUACACCCCCACAGCCACCACCUAACCACGGUAUCUGGUGACAAAGAGCAGUGGGGGGUCAGCACGAACUGGACACUGGAUCACCCCCCGCAUGCCAAUGGGCAGAGGUGUCUCGGGAGGCAUGGCUGUCACCUGUGCUGGGUCUGGAAGAAUGCAGAGACAAGUUGGAGGACAAGGUUUUGGGAUCCGCACGCGAGACUGUAGGCGGCUGCAAUGUGGCAUGUGUGAGGAGGAACUCAGGCCUUGCCCAGACGAGGGGUCCCUCAGAUACUACUCAUCCGUUCCCUGACUCCGCUACCCAAGAGAGCCCUCGUAAGAACCAGUGUGGUUAGAAUUAUCUCUCUGCUUUGGCAGAUGAAGAAGUGACGUUUCGGAGGCAGACACGUUACGAGGACACCGGGUGCUAGGAAGUCAGAGUCCAACCUCACACAGCUCUUAGCCUCCCCUCCCCAAGGCAAGAGCUAAGCGCCAGUGACCACGUGCCACUUUCUGUGCCCGUCCAGGUGCCGAGAGGUCCUGUCUUCUCACACGGGUGGCCCGGGUCCCCAACCCUCCCACCCAAGAGCACCUAGCACCAGCAGUUGUGUGGUAUGGGUGACGCUGCCCUCGGUGCUGGAGGCUCGGCAGGUGUAGUCUCCAGCGCUGCCUCGCUCCACCCGGCGGAUCCAGAGCGUCCCGUUCUGCACCUAAGUUAAGGAGUCUUUAAGAAAAGGGCCCUUCCUGUUUGGGCAGCCUCAGACCCUGCACUUCCAGGGUUGGCCAGCAGAGGGAGGCAGCACCCCAGGCUCAGGGAAGCCCAGGGAAAGCCCCUCCCCCGACCCAUCUCCCCGCGGAGCGCUUCUGCUCCCCUCUCCUGCCCUCUCAAUUCUGCCCGCCCACUCCAGGGGGGGCCCAACUCACUUGCACCUGACCCUGGCCCUUGCCAAGGUCCUGUCCUCGGAAUUUCCAAGUCACAUAAGGCUGGGGGCUGCCCCGGGCCACACAGCGCAAGGUAACAGCCUCCAGUUCCUUCACUUCCAGGACUAAGGGAGGGGUCUCCAGGAGCUGAGGGGGCGCUGUGAGGGAAAGAGGCCUCAGGGGCUGCCAGAAAGGCGAUCAGCCCACAAAGCAGUGUUCAAGAGCCAGGGAGACCUCAUCUCCCAGCUGCAGCCUGCCCAGUGACGAGGAAGAAACAAGGUCCCGGAUGGAAAGUGCUAUGCAUGCACGGGUGAGCUGCAUCACUCAGGACCCAAUACACCAGGAGUGGAAGUUCCUGACUCGGAGCCUAGAGGCCGACUGGAUUUUAUUUGAAGAACUCAGAGGGUGGGAGGAAGGGCAGGGGUAGGAGGCAAACACUAGAUGAGCAAACCUAGUGAGCAGAUGCCGGGAUGGGGAGGGCAUCAGCGCUGCACUGGGAUACAAAUGCAGCUCCCUUCUCUCCUUCACUACCAGGGCUCCCGUCAUUCCCCUCCCCCUCUCCCC